rnacentral:rRNA from 1 species
GAUGAACGCUGGCGGCGUGCCUAAUACAUGCAAGUCGAACGAAAAGUCUCUGUCAUUGAGUGCUUGCCGUCAGCGGUAAAGGGGUGAGUGGCGAACGGGUGAGUAACAUGUGGGUAAGCUACCCACACGAGGGGGAUGACACUAGGAAACAGGAGCUAAUACCGCAUAACGAUAGUUAGCGCAUGGCGACUAUGUAAAAGGUGGCUGUACUAUCGCCUCUGGAUGGGCCCGUGGCGCAUUAGCUAGUUGGUAGGGUAAAGGCUGACUAAGGGAAUGAUGCGUAGACGAAUUGAGAGGUUGAUCGGCCACAUGGGAACUGAGACACGGCCCAAACUACUACGGGAGGCAGCAGUAGGGAAUCUUCCGCAAUGGGCGAAAGCCUGAUGGAGCAACGCCGCGUGAGUGAAGAAGGUCUUCGGAUCGUAAAACCCUGUUGUUAGGGAAGAAAGUGUGUGGGAGUAACUGUUCACGUUUUGACGGUAUCUAACCAGAAAGCCACGGCUAACUACGUG